rnacentral:tRNA from 1 species
AUCACUUACUCGAACCGUCCUGACUGCGUAGCUCAGUUGGAAGAGCAUUGGGCUAGUAUUCCAAAGGUCGUAGGUUCGAAUCCCACCGUGGCCGAGCAUAUUUUUCAAGCUUGCCCGGUGUGGAUAUGCACUCAGAGUAACAUCGCAAACACAUUAUUCACCUGGGUACACAACACCAACACAGAAAAAAAAAAAAAAAAUUCAUAUUACAAGAACACAUUGGUAUUGAAGGAACUAGAUACUGUUCCGAAAUAUCGCUUACUCGAACCGUCCUGACCGCGUAGCUCAGUUGGAAGAGCAUUGGGCUAGUAUUCCAAAGGUCGUAGGUUCGAAUCCCACCGUGGCCGGGCAUAUUUUUCAAGCUCGCCCGGUGUGGAUAUGCACUGAG